rnacentral:rRNA from 18 species
AAUCAAGUGCCUUAAGGGUGUUCGGUGGAUGCCUUGGCGCUGAGAGGCGAUGAAGGACGUGCUACGCUGCGAUAAGCCGUGGGGAGCUGCGAAGAAGCUUUGAUCCAUGGAUUUCCGAAUGGGGAAACCCACCUUCGAUAGCCGGAACUCCAAGACCUUUGUCGAAAGACAUCGGUGUGGGGUUCGACCAGAUAAUGGAAGAAGCCAGGCCUUUAGAUUUCGAUCGAAGAGGUUUUGGAUUUCCGGUUAUCAAGAGAAGGUAUGAGACUUCUGAAUACAUAGGAGGUUUCAAGCAAACCCAGGGAACUGAAACAUCUAAGUACCUGGAGGAAAGGACAUCAACAGAGACUCCGUUAGUAGUGGCGAGCGAACGCGGACCAGGCC